GGAUGUGAAAGUGAUCUAGCUGCGACAUCUGUCACCCCAUUGAUUGCCAGGAUUCAUUCAUUUGAUCUGGUUGGCUAGAUGGAUGUCCCCUUCCUCCCUCAUGCUCCCAUUGCAUCUUUCCCGAAGCUGUGCGCUCAGAUCGAAGAGGACAGCCUUUCUUGAACAGAGAUGGACCUGGUCUUUGGUCCAAGACAUACGAGUAGCUGCACUUGUUUGCUAGAACCUCUAAACAAGCUCUUGAGAACUGACUGUCAUACCUCUGAGAGGUAUAGUGUUGG
rnacentral:sRNA from 1 species